rnacentral:tRNA from 1 species
GGAGGGUAGCUCAGUAGUAGAGCACAUGCUUAGCAUGCAUGAGGUUAUGGGCUCAAUCCCCAGUACCUCCA